rnacentral:lncRNA from 1 species
GUCCCUUCAUCCUGUGAAGCCAAUCUCGAUUAACGAUGGCAUUACAGGAGAGGAAUGUCAGCCACUGCAAACUCAAUCUCUAACUAUUGGGAACUAGCCUAGACUUUGAGAGUAACGGUUCUCAAGGGUUAGUGAGCCUGAGUAUUGAACCCGACUACUGGAACUCGGGAUGGCUUUAGAUCAGCCUUGGAGAACUUUAAUUGUUUAAAUAAAUCGUAAUAUAUUACCUCAACCGAAUUACUGGAGUCCACCAGGAUUCGUUUGAUAUCGUAACCGUUGACCCGCAUCUGGAUAACCGAGGGAUCAUUGUUGAGGUACUGCACCCGUGCGAGAUCUGCCUUGGUAAAUGUGAUAUUUCCUAGCUCAGUCAAGCCUUGUCUUGUCUUCUUUGCUAAUCACUUGGCUUCUUUCUUGAUGACUGGAUCGAGAGUACCUCAUUCAUUUGUUUGACAAUGUAGAUCUUCCCUCGGAUUUUAUUCUCAACUUCGGGGUAAUGUGAAUAGUCCUGAUGGGAGAUCUUUCUCUAAGGCAUUGUCAGCUUCAUCCUUGUCUUGAUCAAACCUUAGAAGUCGAUUGGGUGGUUAAGCGUCAAGUCAUCCCACAACUUUUUGCCCCGCUUUAGCCCGAGCUUAUAGCUGACUACUAUGAGCUCCUUUGGGAAGAAUUUAAUCUUGUUGUACAACUCUCAAUACCUCUUGUAGUAAUUGCUGAGUGUUUCAUUUUUUCCCUUUCGCAGUAUGAGUAGGGGCUUACGCCCUUCGAUACUUUAGUGUUGAUGACAAACAGAGCCACGAAUGACUCCGAUAAUUGGAGAAAGCUCCCGAUUGAGCCCAAUGGGAGCCUCUCAAACCAUUUCAACUUGAGGUCACCCAGACUCGAGGGAAACACCAUGCACAUUAGUGCGUUGAAGUGAUUCUAGAGCUCCUUCAUCUGCCAAAAAUGGCUGAUGUGCAACCUUGAAUCAGACUUUCCAUCGUACAUGGUGAACUUCGGGGGGUUGAACUUCUCCGAAGGUUCCAUCCCCUCAAUCUCGGGCGUAAAUGGGGUUUGGUACAUUAGGAGGAGUUGUUCUUGUAUCAGACACUACUCUGGCGAUUAUGUUUUCCUUCAAGUUACCUACUCCCCGACUUCGCUUGGCAUUCAGGGCAUGGCGAAGGUGCAUAUCGAAAUUAGUUCGACUUGGUAGAGUCCUUCGUCUUCUUGAAGUCACAGUUUUACUAUCACUUUGACUUUCUUCCCCAUUGUAGUAUGACUGAGCGUUCUUGCCCUUAGAGCCACCUCAAGGUGAGGCCUCUCGCCUUACCACUCACCUCGGAUGACACUUCUAUUACACUUAUCGUGUGGGUAGGCAAUUUCAAAUUGUUGGUCACCAAAACGUAUCUCAUUUCCUCCAUUUUGACCUAUAUGCGCCUUAUGGCCACAUCCCUACAGUUUUCUUCACCGCUAGGGAGGGAUUGACUUGGCCUUUGCCCGGAGGGGCCUUGGCCGCCCUCUGAACAUUGACCAAUAGCUUUGUUCCCCUCUCGCUCGGCAUUCUAGGCACGAUAAGGUACUUUAUUUGGGCUUGUCAACUGCCUCUGUUGCCAUUGAUGCUUCUGAAUGCCAUCAAAACCAACUUUGUUGUGACUAGGGUCAACUUUCCACAUACAACGCCAAUUGUGGGGUUGUGGGAUUGAUAGAAAAUCGAACAUAAACGCUAUCGGUGGCUGGCAAGUUGUUUUUGACGGCAAGCCUACAAGACAGAAACAAUGAGAAAGACCAUCUGGAGCCGUUUCGGAGACAGUUUUCCGACGUUCAAGUUAGUAACCGAAAAAAAAGAGAGCAAGAGGGGAGUUCUUGACUCUAGUUUUAGAGAGAGAAACAAUAUUGCUUACUUAUAAGAGUGAGGGUUUGUCCCCUUUUACAGUGUAACUGGCGCGUGUGAGGAAGUGCCGACUUCCAUGUCAGCGAAUUGAUGACUGACUCAAUCAUGACUUUAAUGCAUGACAAGUAAUUAGCCUAUCGCAUCAUCGAAAUUUGAACUCAAGCAUGCAAGCAACAAGGCAAACUCACUUUGUAUGUUACCCUCUAUAACUUUGACAUGGUCUUGGGUAUCUCCAUCUGAAAAAAUUUAUUGACCGAGUUUUCGCGCGAAUAUACCAACCGAACUUGAUAUGAAACGAAAGUCUAACGGCAGUACUUUUCGAACUCGAUGAAAAAUGAAACAAGAUAUUUUAUCUUCCCACAUGCCACUAUAAUUGUGCACCUUGCGUGAAACACGCGAAGAGUGGUUGCGCAUCUUGCGUGAAACACGUAAAGAGUCGUCGGAGUCGGAGACGUUGAGAGAGAGAGAGAUUUAAAGCCGUCACUUUCGAAGAAAUUUCUUGCGACAAGGGAUUUAUUGGCACUGCUCUUCGCUGCGCAUCUUGCAUGAAACACGUGAAGAGUCGUCGGAGUCGGAGACGUUGGGAGAGAGAGAGAGAUCUAAAUUUCUUGCGACAAGAGAUUUAUUGACACUGCU